GUAUCAUUGGUUGGCCGAUCAUGUUUUUGUUUGAUUGUUGGUCGACCGGCUCAUGAUACUUGUAUAGUCUAAGUGUCUAACACUACAUGAGUACUGAACUCAAGCGUAUAUAUGGUUAACCAGGGAUUGGUUGUUGACUUGUUUAAAUGCAGGUUCCCGUUACUUGAAGCUAGAUCAUGGCAUGAGGCCAAGACUAACUUAGUAACGGUUUGCUUAGCCUUAGCUUUUAUUGCAUGCUAGGGCUAGAUUGAUUGUUAUUUUGGGUUGUCUGAGUUAGAGUCUAGGUUGCGGGUAGAGGCCACCAGCUCACUGAGUAAUACU
rnacentral:lncRNA from 1 species